rnacentral:rRNA from 1 species
UACGUAGGGUGCAAGCGUUAAUCGGAAUUACUGGGCGUAAAGCGUGCGCAGGCGGCUUUGCAAGCCAGAUGUGAAAUCCCCGGGCUUAACCUGGGAACUGCAUUUGUGACUGCAUGGCUGGAGUGCGGCAGAGGGGGAUGGAAUUCCGCGUGUAGCAGUGAAAUGCGUAGAUAUGCGGAGGAACACCGAUGGCGAAGGCAGCCUCCUGGGAUAACACUGACGCUCAUGCACGAAAGCGUGGGGAGCAAACAGG